rnacentral:rRNA from 1 species
GUGAGGAAUAUUGGUCAAUGGGCGAGAGCCUGAACCAGCCAAGUCGCGUGAAGGAAGAAGGAUCUAUGGUUCGUAAACUUCUUUUGCAGGGGAAUAAAGUGCGGGACGUGUCCUGUUUUGUAUGUACCCUGAGAAUAAGGAUCGGCUAACUCCGUGCCAGCAGCCGCGGUAAUACGGAGGAUCCGAGCGUUAUCCGGAUUUAUUGGGUUUAAAGGGUGCGUAGGUGGUUUGAUAAGUCAGCGGUGAAAGUUUGCAGCUUAACUGUAAAAAUGCCGUUGAAACUGUCGGACUUGAGUGUAAAUGAGGUAGGCGGAAUGCGUUGUGUAGCGGUGAAAUGCAUAGAUAUCACGCAGAACUCCGAUUGCGAAGGCAGCUUACUAAGCUACAACUGACACUGAAGCACGAAAGCGUGGGGAUCAAACAGGAUUAGAAACCCCGGUAGUCC